rnacentral:rRNA from 1 species
UACGUAGGGUGCAAGCGUUGUCCGGAAUUAUUGGGCGUAAAGAGCUCGUAGGCGGUUUGUCGCGUCGAAUGUGAAAAUCCGGGGCUCAACCCCGGACUUGCAGUGGGUACGGGCAGACUAGAGUGUGGUAGGGGAGACUGGAAUUCCUGGUGUAGCGGUGGAAUGCGCAGAUAUCAGGAGGAACACCGAUGGCGAAGGCAGGUCUCUGGGCCACUACUGACGCUGAGAAGCGAAAGCAUGGGGAGCGAACAGG